rnacentral:rRNA from 1 species
GACGAACGCUGGCGGCAUGCUUAACACAUGCAAGUGGAGCGACGAACCUUUUUGGGGCAAAGCCGCGAACGGGUGAGUAACACGUGGGAAAUCUGCCACGAUGACUGGAAUAACCAGAGGAAACUCGAGCUAAGACCGGAUGUGCAUGCGUCCCAUCAGAGAUGUCUGUAAAGGGAGUUUCGGCUAUCCCCAUCGGGAGGAGCCUGCGCAGCAUGAGGUAGUUGGUGGGGUACAGGCCGACCAAGCCGACGAUGCUUAGCUGGUCUGAGAGGACGAUCAGCCACACUAGAACUGAGACACGGUCCAGACUCCUACGGGAGGCAGCAGUGGGAAAUCUUGCACAAUGGGCGACAGCCUGAUGCAGCAAUGCCGCGUAAGGGAAGACGGCCGUCGGGUUUUAAACCUCUUUCAGUUGGUAAGAAGGUUGGACGGUGAAUAGCCGCGUCAACUGACGGUACCUUCAGAAGAAGCCCCGGCUAACUACGUGCCAGCAGCCGCGGUAA